AGGAGUUUGGAUCCUGGCUCAGGAUGAACGCUAGCGGCAGGCUUAAUACAUGCAAGUCGAGGGGCAGCGGGGGUAGCAAUACCUGCCGGCGACCGGCAAACGGGUGCGGAACACGUACACAACCUUCCUUUAAGUGGGGGAUAGCCCAGAGAAAUUUGGAUUAAUACCCCGUAACAUUAUGAGAUGGCAUCAUUUUAUAAUUAAAGCUCCGGCGCUUAGAGAUGGGUGUGCGUCUGAUUAGGUAGUUGUGCGGGUAACGGCCCACCAAGCCUUCGAUCAGUAACUGGUGUGAGAGCACGACCAGUCACACGGGCACUGAGACACGGGCCCGACUCCUACGGGAGGCAGCAGUAAGGAAUAUUGGUCAAUGGACGCAAGUCUGAACCAGCCAUGCCGCGUGGAGGAUGAAGGUCCUCUGGAUUGUAAACUUCUUUUAUCUGGGAAGAAAUGCAUUUUUUCUAAAGUGUUUGACGGUACCAGAAGAAUAAGCACCGGCUAACUCCGUGCCAGCAGCCGCGGUAAUACGGAGGGUGCAAGCGUUAUCCGGAUUCACUGGGUUUAAAGGGUGCGUAGGUGGCAGGUAAGUCAGUGGUGAAAUCUCCGGGCUUAACCCGGAAACUGCAUUGAUACUAUCGGUCUUGAAUAUCGUGGAGGUAGCGGAAUAUG
rnacentral:rRNA from 1 species